AGGUGAAGGGGACCGGAGGCUACAACUUUGUGAGUCUUGAAAGGUCAGGAGAAUGAAUCACCAAGUGAUCUAUGAGGGAAGCAUAUUCUACAGUUUGCAGACAGUCAGUCUAGCCCUGGGACCUUGAGGAGCCUGCUUAUCUACCUCUGGUGUCUACCAGUCACCCAACUCCCACCUCUGGCUCCAAAAUCUGUGAAUUGGAUGAUCAUUGGAAUAAGGGUGCUAAUUACUGGCAGCUAACAGUGG
rnacentral:lncRNA from 1 species